GACGAACGCUGGCGGCGUGCUUAACACAUGCAAGUCGAACGGAAAGGCCCUGCUUUUGUGGGGUGCUCGAGUGGCGAACGAGUGAGUAACACGUGAGUAACCUGCCCUUGACUUUGGGAUAACUUCAGGAAACUGGGGCUAAUACCGGAUAGGAGCUCCUGCUGCAUGGUGGGGGUUGGAAAGUUUCGGCGGUUGGGGAUGGACUCGCGGCUUAUCAGCUUGUUGGUGGGGUAGUGGCUUACCAAGGCUUUGACGGGUAGCCGGCCUGAGAGGGUGACCGGCCACAUUGGGACUGAGAUACGGCCCAGACUCCUACGGGAGGCAGCAGUGGGGAAUAUUGCACAAUGGGCGGAAGCCUGAUGCAGCAACGCCGCGUGCGGGAUGACGGCCUUCGGGUUGUAAACCGCUUUCGCCCGUGACGAAGCGUGAGUGACGGUAAUGGGUAAAGAAGCACCGGCUAACUACGUG
rnacentral:rRNA from 1 species